CUCAGGUCUCUCUGUGCUGUGCAUGGAAGGAGAAACUUGGCUUUGGGGGAGAAGCACAAUCCCUGGUUUCGACAUUUAAAUGCCACUUACCUGCCACCCCCCAUCAUCCCAGAGGGGAAAUACCAUAGAAGGUCACCUAACGAUGUUAUCCAACAAAGAUGAAUGAUGAAGUGCCUUUUAUGGACAUUGUGCACUUUUUUUUAUAUACAAAAGUGAGGUAUGGUCCAAAAGAAGAAGAAACCUUUCUGCUAUGGCUUGGAACGCCUUGAGGAGACCACACCCUCAGUGAAGUUCAUUCGAGUGGGGUUGAUUUAUCUGAUUGUUCUCCCAUGUGUUUGUAAUACAUGAAUAAAAUCCAUGACCUACGUCUUCUCACCACAAAUGCUUGAGUGGUAAAACCAUCUUAAACAUCAAGGGCAUCAUCCCCACCAGGAAUAAAUAGUGACUGGAACGUGACCACUACUGAUGUCCUACUCUCCAUGGACCACACUUUCGAUAUCCAACCCCCCCGCACCUUAUUUAUCCUUUUGAUUCUGGAAAGAGUUUUGGACAACUGUGUCAAAUUCACAUUAUGGAGGUGUGAGCACAAACAUGGAAUUCUGUAUGUUGAUUAUGUUCAAACAUUAAUUUAACUGCAGGUUUACCUACCCAAACUGUUGAGAUAGUGAUGUGAAGAUGAUCUGACCAAGUGUGCUUGUGAAGAUAUGGAGGUAGAACUUGUUCACCACAGAGGACAAGUACAAUAUGUAGAACUAUUAAUUUUUUGGGGUGGGGCAAUGAGACUUAUGGCAUUGUCUUUUAGAUUAAGCCUUGUGUGAGGUAGGUGGGGGGUGUAGUUGUGUCCAAACAGACAGAACAAAUAGAACCUUGAUAGUCCUUUGGGUCAAUACUCACAAUGUGGAUGAUAUCUAAGUAGAGUUUGGAACAGAGGUUCAUUAUAUUGUACGUUUCUAGCUGAAACUGAGAUUUUGAAGGACAUCAUCUUGUUUGGGUAUAUUUAGACAAAACCCAGGCUAGUGUUAAGAUCUGAGCAUGGGUUAAUGGAACUCUCUUAAACAGGAUGGGCCUUUGCUAGGUGGAAGAGACCAUGCGGCGCGAGGGUGUAGUGAAACUACAACUCCCUGUAGCUGUGUGCAGUAAAGAUGGACGCCAGAAGGCUCUUACAGUUGAACUAUAAACAGAUUUAUUGUCAGA